rnacentral:rRNA from 1 species
UGCGCAGGCGGGCAUUUAAGUCAGUGGUGAAAUACUGCCGCUUAACGGUAGAACUGCCAUUGAUACUGAAUGUCUUGAGUAUGGUUGAGGUAGGCGGAAUGUGUAGUGUAGCGGUGAAAUGCAUAGAUAUUACACAGAGCUCCGAUUGCGAAGGCAGCUUACUAAGCCAUAACUGACGCUGAGGCACGAAAGCGUGGGGAGCGAACAGGAUUAGAUACCCUGGUAGUCC